GCAUCACAUCACAACUAAUCAUAUCAAGGAUGAACUUGUCACCAUUUAGCCCUCUACAUAUUCCAAUCAUGCCAGGGGCGUAGUGCAGGCCACACCUGGUCUUUUUCUUAUACAUAACAUAACAUAACAUACAUAUUCCAUGGUGCCGGGGGCGUAGUCCAGGCCACUUCCGGUCUUUCUCUUACAUAGUGCCAGGGGCGUAGUGCAGGCCACACUUGGACUUCCAUAUC
rnacentral:lncRNA from 1 species